UACCGCAUAAGCCCACGGGUCGGCAUCGACCAGNGGAAAGGAGCAAUCCGCUUUGAGAUGGCCUCGCGUCCGAUUAGCUAGUUGGUGAGGUAAUGGCCCACCAAGGCAACGAUCGGUAGCCGGACUGAGAGGUUGAACGGCCACAUUGGGACUGAGACACGGCCCAGACUCCUACGGGAGGCAGCAUG
rnacentral:rRNA from 1 species